rnacentral:rRNA from 1 species
AGUGAACGCUGGCGGUAGGCCUAACACAUGCCAGUCGAACGGCAGCACAGUAAGAGCUUGCUCUUACGGGUGGCGAGUGGCGGACGGGUGAGGAAUACAUCGGAAUCUACUUUUUCGUGGGGGAUAACGUAGGGAAACUUACGCUAAUACCGCAUACGACCUACGGGUGAAAGCAGGGGAUCUUCGGACCUUUCGCGAUUGAAUGAGCCGAUGUCGGAUUAGCUAGUUGGCGGGGUAAAGGCCCACCAAGGCAACGAUCCGUAGCUGGUCUGAGAGGAUGAUCAGCCACACUGGAACUGAGACACGGUCCAGACUCCUACGGGAGGCAGCAGUGGGGAAUAUUGGACAAUGGGCGCAAGCCUGAUCCAGCCAUACCGCGUGGGUGAAGAAGGCCUUCGGGUUGUAAAGCCCUUUUGUUGGGAAAGAAAAGCAGCAGGUUAAUACCCCGCUGUUCUGACGGUACCCAAAGAAUAAGCACCGGCUAACUUCGUG